CUUCCCUUUUGCGCUUUCUCUACGUCUUUGUGCGGUUCUGCGAUCCAUCUGCCUGCAUAUAAAAAUGGAGUAUGAAGAGAACCAACCAGUGGCUCUUGAGAAGUACGAUUGUCUCCUUUUUGAUUUAGAUGAGACGCUCUAUCCUAACAGUUCUGGUUUGGCUCAACAUGUCACCAAGAAUAUUGAAGAGUAUAUGAUUCAAAAGCUCCGCAUUGAGGAAAGUCAAGUCCCAGAAUUGUGUGUUUCCUUGUACAAGUAUUAUGGGACAACAUUGGCUGGUCUCAGGGCUAUUGGGUAUAAGUUCGACUAUGAUGACUUCCAUAAUUUUGUUCAUGGAAAAUUACCCUAUGAUAUCCUAAAGCCUGACCUUGUUCUUAGAAAUCUUUUACACAGUGUGCCUGUUCGGAAAGUUGUUUUCACCAAUGCUGAUAAGAAUCAUGCUGAGAGGGUCCUCAAUAGACUUGGGUUAGAGGACUGCUUUGAAGGAGUUAUAUGCUUUGAGACCUUGAAUAACACUAACAAAGGAAAUAAUCCCGUUGAAGAGGAUGAAAAUGCAGUUUUUGACAUCAAUGAAUAUAGCGCUGCUCCGAAUGCUGGUAUUGCACUUCCAAGGUCACCAGUUGUCUGCAAACCAUUUGAAGAGGCAUUUGACCAGGUGUUUAAGAUUGCCUGCAUCAACCCUCAAAGAACGUUGUUCUUCGAUGACAGCAUCCGUAAUUUACAGACUGGGAAACAGCUGGGCCUCAACACUGUGUGGGUAGGCUCUUCCCAUCGCACUGAAGGUGUAGACUAUGCACUUGAGAGCAUCCACAAUAUCAAGGAAGCACUGCCGGAGCUCUGGGAGGCUAACGAGAAGUCUGAAGAUGUGAGGUAUUCAGGGAAGGUUGCCAUUGAGACUUCAGUUAAGGCAUAGCAUAUUUGUAGGUGGGCAUUUUCUCAACUCUAUCUAAUGGGGUCACACGAUGACAUCUUAUUUGUUUGAAAUUAAACACGCU
rnacentral:misc_RNA from 1 species